rnacentral:lncRNA from 1 species
GAGGAUGUUCCAUGGACACCUCAAGGCCUUGUGGACACCCCAAGGCCACCCUGGGGACACCCUGGGGACACUUCGUGGACAUCCCGUGGCCUCCUGGACACUCCUAGGACACCCCAUGGACACCCCAGGGCCCCAAGGCCACCUUGGGGACACUCCAAGGUCACCCUGUGGACACCCCAAGGCCACCCCAAGGCCUUGUGGUCACACCAUGGACACCCCAAGGCCACUCUAUGGACACCCCAUGGACACCUCAAUGUCCCCAAGGCCACCCUGGGGACACCCCAAGGUCACUCUAUGGACACCUCAAUGUCCCCAAGGCCACUCUGGGGACACCCCAAUGUCCCCAAGGCCACCCCACGGUACGAGCAGAACGGUUCCCUCGCGGUUCCCCAGGUA